UGAGUAUAAAUUAAUGAUAAAUAUUAUUUGAUCAUAAAGUCUUAGAUUUUAUAGAAUAAUUAGAAUAAGGCAAAUUGACCUCGAGGAAUUCGUGUAGUGAUUUGUAGUUACUUGUUGCCUCACUAAGAAGCGAUUAGUAAAUGUGUCUUGUUAUGCAAUUAUCCUCUUUUUAUAGGCCUGGCAAAAAGCACGAAGUGAUGGGUGGGAGCGAGCCUUUUGUGAAAAGAAUUUUCUUUCACAGGCUACUAUGGAAAUAAUCAUAGGCAUGAGAACACAGUUGCUUGGUCAACUUAGAGCAUCAGGUUUUGUUAGAGCACGAGGUGGUGGUGACAUUCGAGAUGUUAACACAAACUCUGAGAAUUGGGCUGUCGUUAAAGCUGCAUUGGUGGCAGGCAUGUAUCCUAAUUUAGUCCACGUGGACAGAGAGAAUCUAGUGUUGACAGGGCCAAAGGAGAAAAAAGUACGAUUUCAUCCUGCUUCAGUUCUCAGUCAGCCUCAAUAUAAAAAGAUUCCUCCAGCCAAUGGUCAAGCUGCAGCAAUUAAGGCACUGCCCACAGAUUGGCUUAUUUAUGAUGAAAUGACCAGAGCCCAUAGAAUAGCUAAUAUUAGAUGUUGUUCAGCAGUGACGCCUGUCACUAUAUUGGUAUUCUGUGGACCAGCUAGAUUGGCAAGUAAUGCUCUUCAGGAACCUUCAUCCUUUAGAGUGGAUGGCAUUCCCAAUGACAGUAGUGAUAGUGAAAUGGAGGACAAAACUACAGCUAAUUUGGCAGCCUUGAAACUGGAUG
rnacentral:sRNA from 1 species